rnacentral:lncRNA from 1 species
AUUUGAAUUCUAAUUAGAUAAUAUUUAUUAUUAAUAGAAUUUGAAGAAUUUGAAAUUCUUAGUAUAGAUCUAAGUAUCUAUAUAUCUAAAUCUAACUGAGUACGUAUAAUAAGAAUAAGUGCAAAGAAUGUAGAACUAAAUAAAUGGACUUAUUCAUCUCUUACAUGAGAAAGAUAUGUAUCAUAAUAAACUUUAUUAUUCAUUUCUUUGUCUUUUGUUCUUGUCUUCUAAUUUUCUAAAAAUAGAUAAAGAGAUUAUCGAAAGAUUCGUUCGAAUCCGACCCAACAUGAAUUUUUAGCUAAAAUGGUUUUUAGGGAGAUAGAGAAAGAUACAAAACUCUAUUAUCUAUAUUUUAAUUUCAAAUUAUAUACCUAAGACAAGAAGAAAUUCGUUUUAUUUUCCUAAUUUCACGAAAGGAAGAACUCACUCUUGGUGAUAAAGGCUUCUUGAUUCGUAAUCAGGAAUAUAGGUCAAAAAAGAGUUAUCCUCAACUUUAGUUUUGAUUCUUUCUACAAUUAGAUCUUCUAUCACCAAAGAAAGGGCCAUUAUUAUCUUAUUUACUUUAUCUUAUUUACUUUGAUUCCGAUAAACUAACUACUUUUUUGCUACAAACACAAAUAAAAUAAAAUAAUGGCCUUAGUGCUCUACUUGAUUUUGCUUGACUUUUGAUUCAAAGGAAAAAAGGCGUGGAGCUUAAAUAACUCACUCAGAACGCUUUUUAAAAGAUUACGUGGUACAAUUAGGUCGAAUAAACCCUUCUGGAAUAAGUAUUCAGCUACUUGUGAACCUUCGGGUACUGUUUUAUUCAAUGUUUGUUCAAUUACUCUUUUACCUGCAAAUGCAAUGUAGGCAUUGGGUUCGGCAAUAAUGAUAUCCCCCAACAUACCAAAACUAGCUGUCACUCCACCAGUUGUCGGAGAUGUAAGGAUUGAUACAUAAAAUAAUUUUUUAUUUAAUUGAUAAUCAUAUAAAGCAGACGAUAUUUUAGCCAUUUGCAUCAAGCUCAAACUUCCUUCCUGCAUGCGCGCCCCCCCAGAAGCACACACUAUAAUAAGAGGUAAAAUUUGAUUGGCAGCGUGUUCAAUCAAACGGGUGAUUUUCUCUCCGACUACGGAUCCCAUACUACCCCCCAUAAACUGAAAAUCCAUAACCCCAAUUGCUACGGGAAUGCCGUUUAUUUGGCCUAUGCCUGUUUGAACAGCCUCGGUUAAUCCUGUCUUUCUUUGAUAAGAAUCAAUACGAUCUUUAUAAGGCUCCUCUUCCGAAUGAAAUUCAAUGGGAUCCAGAGAGACCAUGUCUUCAUCCAUAGGAUCCCAAGUACCCGGAUCGACCAAAAGUUCAAUUCUAUCCGAACUACUCAUUUUCAAAUGAUAUCCACAUUGUUCACAAAUAUUCAUUUUUGAUUUAAAAAAUUUCUUAUAAUUUAAUCCAUAACAAUUCUCGCAUUGAACCCACAAAUGCCUGUAUUUUUGAGUUACCUCGAGAUCAUUAGAACUUUCUCUUAUAGUUAAAUCACUGCCAUUAGUUAAAUCACUGCCAAUAGUUAAAUCACUGCCAAUAGUUAAAUCACUGCCAAUAGUUAAAUCACUGCCAAUAGUUAAAUCACUGCCAAUAGUUAAAUCACUGCCAAUAGUUAAAUCACUGCCAAUAGUUAAAUCACUGCCAAUAGUUAAAUCACUGCCAAUAGUUAAAUCACUGCCAAUAGUUAAAUCACUGCCAUUAGAACUUUCUCUUAUAGUUAAAUCACUGCCCUUUGUGCGAGUUUGUAUACUGGAACCCUCGUUUUCACUACUAUUUUUACUUUCACCACCACAAACGGCCCUAUAAAUGUAACUGUCACUGUAAUUCUCACUACCACUUAUAAUGGAAGUAUCUAUACAGAUUUGAGACUGAAGAUAAUUAUCAAUGCAACUAUUAAUGUGAUUAUUCCAACUAUAUUGAGUAUCAUACAUGUAAGAAUUAUAGUAGGGAUCUUCGCCCCUAAAUCCAUUAUUCAGAUAACUCGAGUUUCGAUAACUAUAAAAAGAACUUUCUAGUUCACUCAGAAAAGAAUGAUCGUUGUCAAUCUCAAAAAUCUGAUUUUCAAUAUCAAAAUAGAUGGAAUAACUGUCUCCAUUCCUAUCACUAACUACAAAAGUGUCAUCAGAGAUGAAAUUCCGAAUGUCUUUAACGCCGAAUAAAUAAUCAACAUUACUGCAACUAGGAAUGUUUUUCACUUUUCGAUUUGGAUCUUCACUGGUAUUUUCAAUAGGACCAAGACUGCCCAUUGAUUUAUUUAGCCCACACCUGCGUUCGAACUCCUUCUUAAACAACAUCGAAUUAAACCACCAUCUUUCCAUAGAGUUUUCUUGCCCCCUAUUUGCAUGAAAAUACAAUAGAUGAAUAGUCAUUCGCUAUAAAAUUAUUUAUUUGAAUAUCUUAUUUCCUAUCAGACUAAGCAUAGAAAUCCAAUCACUAGGAUUAUUAGUAGGAUUAUUAGUGAGUAUUGAAAAAAAGUUCUGAAUCUGGGGGAACACUUCACUAUAUAUUAAUAUGUCGGAACCCCCUUUUAUUAUUUUAUUAUUAAAAAUAAUAUAAAUAUAAUAAAAUAAUAUUUGAUAAAGGGCGGCUUCUCCUAU